rnacentral:lncRNA from 1 species
GUAUAAAACAAUAAAGUCCAGCAUACAAAAUACACCAUUAUCCACCUAUUUAACAUUGUACAGAAUACAAAAUUCAAAUAUAAGGGAUCUUAAGGUAAAUUUCACCUAUGGAGGGAGAUGUGCAUUGAACAAAACAUUAAAUAUAUAACAAAUUUUGGGAGAUCACAUAAUUGUGUGUGGGAAUCCUAGCUAAUAUGAAGUAGACGACACUGAUUAGUAGCGAAAGACAAGAAAUUUUAAUCAUACUAAACCUUCAUUUCCCAAUAACAUCAGAUGAUAAUAUGUGCGGGGAUUCUUUAUUUAAUUGGGUUGUCCCCCACCCUAGCUGGAAACCUCCAAAAUACCCCCGUUUUAGGGACCAUAAAGGAGUAUUUAAGGUGCAGUUCU